AUUUUACACUCAGCAACAAGUCUAACAAAUAACAAUAAGCAAAACAUUGUUUGGAGUGGAAGUUCCUAAACUAUGGAGACAGGAAAACAACAAGAUUCAUGGAAGAGCAGCCGUGUGGAAGUGAUAUAUGGGGGAGAACUUCUUCAUAAGGGUUCUUUUGAAGACUCUGACCUGGAAUUACACACAGGCUACGGUUCUUUGUGGGAAUGGGGCCCACUCUCGGGGUUUCACGACUGGCCAUUAUUCAACACACUCAGCUCAGAUCGCUGAGAUCUUGUGGCUUUGGAGACGGGUGGAUCGAAGGUCAAUGUCCAGGCAGGAGUUGGGUGUGUCGUCGGAGAUGGGAGAUCUAAGGCUGUGUGCCUAGAGACCCAAGAUCUUUGGGCACAGAGCUUGGAAAAAGCCACACCUUUAACAGUGUAAACCAGCGAAUUGUUGUUAUGCCUCCCCUCUCACUGUGAAAUGGAAACAUCACCUUCUCCCUCAUUAGGGAGAGAGAAAGAGAGGCUGUGGUCUAUCAAAUACUGGAUGAACAAGUCGUCUUUGGAGUGCUGCAAGUCUGUGUCUUUGCUGUUGCUUUGCCCACGCUUGAGUCCUCAGUGGUCACCUAGAAAAAGCAAGGCACCAAGACAUCAAGAUAAUGUGAAUUUUUAGGACGGACUUUAAAUGGUUCUCAUAAAGGAAGGCUGUAGGAAGCAAAAAGUUUAAGGUAUUCUGAGUUAUAUUAAGUAGUAUGUGUAUUCUCUAUGUGGACGGUGAUGAUCCAACACAAAUACCAUGAAGAAGGAUUUCUGGAUUCUGCUGAGCCUAGAAAUAAUGUUUUUUUGUGGGUUUUCUGACCUGUAGUGUGGGACCUUGUCAGUUACGCUUGCUUAUUUUUACCCAAUUGAGGUGGAGAUGCAGCCAUAAACUUGAGGCUCCCUUAUCUCCUCCUUGAUGGUAGUCAUGAAAAGAGGGCAAGUCUUGGAUGAUGAGGAUCCAUAAUGACACAUUUUGUCUACUUGAGGCACCACCUUUUGACGAUGUUGUUAAUGGUGGGAAAGGAAUUCAUCAAUGGGAUAUUCACUCCUGGCUUUUGAAAUGGAAUUCUACAGAUGCUAGACCUUGUGUCCUAGUAAGCUUAUGAAAUUUCUAUUCGGUGACAGAAUGGAAUGAUGAUCUGAGGUGCCAAUGAAAUAUAGUUUUCAAAUGAACCCACAAAAGUAUUGCAGAAGUAUUUAAGGAAAUAAUUCCUUCUCUUGCAUAAAAAAUUUAUCUAUUGUAAAUUAAUAUUAUAUCAUCUAGUAGCAUAAUAGGGGCUCAUAGAGGAGAUAAAAUAUAUUAUUAAUAAUUUUAUUAUACAGGCUAUGUUGUAAUAGCCUUACUGAGUUAAUCAACAAUAUUCAAGUAGAAUUCAAAGCAAUGAAAAAAUUGUGUUGAUGAAAUGUUUCUUGACAUCUCUCAGAAAUAUCUCAAAGUGUUUUACAUUCAAUUACUCAGAAGCACAGUGACACAUACAGUAUAAUUAAACGUAGUAGACACCUUGAGCACGCACAGCCCCACACGUAGAAUAGAGAUAACUGGCUGACUGACGCCUUAAAUAACAGAGGCAGAACAUUGGUAAAGACAACAAGAGACACUUGUUUUUUCAAUGAAUGCAACUCAGAAAAUUGCAGUGCUAACCUGAGGCAAGUUCACAUUAGGAAAUUAAUAGAACCUUAGAAGAUACAAGGAAGUCAUUCUAUUCUUUAUGUCCAUGAAGACCAAAAAGCUUUAGUGACUAACUUCUCUUAACAGCUUUUCCUUUGUAGUCUUGUGCAUCAAGUGAGUUGACCACUAUUUGUAUGCAUAUAGAAUAUAGAACAGUACACGUAGGAACAGGCCCUUCAGCCCACAAUGCUUAUACUAGAAAUGAUGCCACAUUAAACUAAAUCUCUUCAGCCUGCACAUGAUUGAAAUCCCUUCUUUGACUGCGUAUUCAUGUGCCUGACUAAUGGCCUCUUAAACACCACCACAAUUGAAACCGAAUCCAUUAACAUUCUGGCAGUGUUUUCUCGAGCCUAUAGUACCAUACUCUGUGUAAAAGAACCUGUCUGCAUAUCUGCUUUAAAUGUUCCCCUCUCACCUUAAAUUCCUCUCCUCUAGUAAUUGAUAUUUCUACUUGAAGAGAAAGAUUCUACCCGAUCAAUGCCUCUCAAAAUUUUAUAAAAUUCUUCUGUCUGCAUUUGACUCUCCUGAGAAAACAACCCACUUUUGCCCUUAAUGCUCAUACCCUCUAAUUCAGGCAGCAUCCUGGUUAACUUCUUCUGUAUGCUUUCCAAAGCUUCCCUGUAUUUCCUGUAAUGGGUGGCCAGAACUUCUAGAGAAUCCUUCAUCGUAUUGCAACUAUAUAAACGACUGAGUAGUCCGUAGCUGGAGUAGAAAUUUCAAUACAUCACGUUUUAAAUAAUUUCACCCUAAUCUCACAACUAUGUCAGCUCAUUUGAGAUUCUCCCACUAGUUUAAACUUCUGGAUAUCUGUUCUACGCCCGCAACAGAAUUACUCCUCAGUCUUUUAAACUCUUAAGAAUAUAGAUCUGAUUUCUUUCACAAUUUGUGAUAGGAAUACAUCUAUGGGCUGAGAUCCCACUGUGCAUUAUCACUGAUAAUAAAUGUCAAAUUCCUCCGAGGAUGAUUUUAACACAACUAAUGGGUUAAUGAAUGUGUUAAAAUGCAUUAAAUGUGUUAAAAAUUAUGCACAUGGGAACUUAAUACACACCAUUAAUGUCAGUCAUAGACAGGUUCAGGAGAUUUACAGAUUGGAACAUGAAUGUUUGUUUCACACAAUGGAUUAGAAACUCAACACUUGAAGAUUGUCUUGCAUUCGUAAUAGUGUGUGAGAUCACAUGCUACUGAUACACAUUUUAUCAUAUUCAAUUUCAUUUACUAGAAGGAAGCUGAGAAAUUAUUACUUUAAACAGCAGAUACUGUAUCUAGCAUGUUGGUAUGUUAAAAUCCUAAGCAAAUUCAAUUGUUUUUUUUGAAAUAAAAUUGAAUAUUUACUUGCAAAGUAAAAAUUUAUGGCAAACCAAUUAAGACCAUGAAUAGCUGUAAUGACACAGACAUGCAGCCAAUUUUUUUUUGUACAGUAUAUGGUAUGUUUAAUCGUUACAUUGGAUUCUAAAAGCAAUUUCAUUAAGUGAGGAGUUCCAAAUUGGGAAGGAUGCUGCAAAUGCAUCAGCCAAAGAUCCUUAGUCAUGGGAAGAUUAGUUGAAUAAGGAGUUGAAGGUAGUUGGGUCUUAUAUUGGGUCACAUCUUAUCCUGAGGAAUGCUUGCAGCAGUGACUUCGGGUUCAGAUGUCUGGCCUCCAUCUACCAAAGACAUCUUCUUUUUUAAGACACAGUUUGACUCCAAUAAGGAUAAAUGCAAGUUUGCAUUGUUUUCCACAACUGACUUCAAUUUUACUGGACCCUUUAAUGUUAUCUCAGUCCAAUGAUAGCUAAAUAUUCAAUGCCAUCACUCACAAGUCAUCUCUCUAUUUCUCCUCCAUCCAUGCAUGGACCAAGAAGUCUGGACCUGACAUUUUUUUUGCAAAACCAAAGCUGAACAUUGGUGAUGGAACCUGCUUGGGCUGUUAUGACAACACACACAAAAUGCUGUGUUCUACCAGCAUUUUGUGUGUGUUGUUGUUUGAAUUUCCAGCAUCUGCAGAUUUCCUCAUGUUUGGGCUGUUAUGAUUUUGCUUUUAUUAUGCUUGCUGUGUGCAUUUCCUCACAAGAAAACCAUGUGUGUAUUUCCUCUAAGUCUGUGCAGAAUUCUGAACGUACUCAGCACCUCUGUUGUGGUGGUAAAGAAAGUGGUCAUUGUUCUGUAUCAUGCAUUAGCCACUUGUCAAAUGCCUAUAUGCUGCAGUUUACACUGGCAACAAGGAUGUAUAAAAGAACUGGAGUGUAAUUGUUCCAAUUUGAGUAUUUUUGGUUGCAACCCAGGAUUUAAUUUUCCUAUUGAUUUCAAUCUGGUGUGAUACGUUUCAUUGCAUACUGUGUCUGAAAUUAAGUCGGCUGCCAGUUAACCCCGCAGCUGCCAAGGAUACAACAAAUUCUAACACUUAAUCUAAUUUAUCUGUCUCAUGAUUAGAGAUAAACAGUAAUGCUCAGUACAUCCAGUGCACCAGCACUUUACUUGCAUAUAGCCAGGGCCGUACCUCAUCUUGGGCCAACCAAUGUUCAUUCUAAGUAACCUGCAGUCCCGUUCCACUGGGAAAAGUGACUUUGCAGGUUUGAGAAGUGCCACAGGAUAUGGAAUCACAGAUGAUUUAAGGGAAACCUCAAUCCUGCCAAGUUGUGGCGAUGAAGGAUUAGAAAACGACACACUAUCACCUACAACUGCUAACUGCAUUGACGCCAGGGCACAUUUCAAUUCCCAUCAAAACUGUGUUCUGCUGUACAAGGCAAAAAGAGAACAGAGCAGCUAAUCCAGACUGCACAUGUUUGAGGCAACUUGUGGCAGAGUAUUAUUUUACUGAUACUGAGUAGGAGACAAAAUGCCGAUCACUGAAUACUGCAUCUCUAAGCAACAGACAGAAGGCCCUCGGGAAGGAUUUCAAAAUGCGAAUUGGCUGAUUAGGGGAAUAUCUGUGGUGUUCAAAGCAUUGAGCAGCUAGGAGAGAAAGACCACAAAGUAAAAUUGUGAGUGGGAUCAGAAAACAAAAUAAAUAAAGCAGAUUUUUCCCCAGCUGACAUAGUCAACAGUGAAUUACUUGAGCCAUUGAGAUAGGCAGAACUGCAGUGGAAAAUACCGAUUGAAGCAGGAUGCCCUAGUGUGGAGACACCAUGCACAUCAUCCAUUUCAUGAGGGCUUGUACUUCAGCAAACCCACUGUGACAGAACUCAUCGGACCAUGUAACAAGUUUUGAAGAAAAAACAGAAGUCUGCAACAGCCCUGAGUACACAUUAGCUAUUCACUUCACUCAUCAGAGCACUCAGCUGUGGGUUGAAGAGAAUAUUUGCAACCUGCAAAUCAAUGUGCUGUUAUGAUACAGGCUGAUCUGCAAUUUCACUGCCACCCUAAUCUAACAGAGAGAAAAUACCAGGAAGUUUCCUUGCAACAGCUCUGCACCUUUGACAGUUCUAAGACAAUUUCCAUUGCAAAUAACAUUUGAGUCUAAGCAUGUCAACAUGCUUUCUACGUAAUCUCAGGUGACCAUGCUACUCUUCUGAGGUUUGACACAGAGUCAACUCCUCACAGUGCGGAGGUCACAAGGAGAAUUCCAGCAAUCAGUCCCUCUAGUCACGAGGAAAGGUCACAGAACAGAAAACUAGUUAUGCAAAUAGGAGCACGGAGCCCAAACUGCAAUGGAAACUGCAACAAAACAACAUGUUGUUCUAUUUCAGUGCAUAACAGGAAUGUAAGCACAAAUUUGCACUGUAAAAGAUGCUCCCUCUAGUGGCAAUGCACAUACAUUGCAAGCUUUGCACGAAGUUCACAAUGAACUCAUGAUCACACCUACGUCACAUAAAGUGCUAUGAUGUAAUUAUUUUAUCAGCCUAAUGUCACUCGCAGAAAGCAUCAGAUAUUUCUUAUGAAGACCUAGAGAGAAUCAUCAAAACUAAUCAGCUAAUAAGUUGAGUUGAGUUUUAAUGUUAUUUGCAUACAUAGAAUAAUACACAAGUGCAAUGAACAACUUGCUUGCAGCAGCAUCCUUUAUGGUUAAGACAAAAUUAGCUAAAAACUAAUAUGUCAAGUUACAAUAUGUCAUACUUCACAAUUCAAAGAGUUCAAGCUUGUAUUAAUUUUGCCGACUUAAUUCUGGUUAUCAUUUGUUCGUAAUUGCUAAGCCCUGUUUAGGCCCUACCAUGCAGACUGUCAAUACUCCAUCCGUAAGAGCUCCCAUUCCAGAGCUUCAUUGCACCUUAUUGCUCUUGGUGGAUGGAUAGGGAACAACCUUUCAAUAGUGAUAGCGUUGCAGGAGGUUUGCAAUUUUGAUUUUAUGCAAAGCAAGUUCUCACCCACUGAACACCCAACACAGAUAACUGGAGAGAUAUAUGCAAACACUAAAGAAAUGUCUUCAUUCUGCUCAUACUGGAGGGAAGUCAUGGAACAGGAACAUUUAAGUUUUUAAUGAAGUUACAGAACUGUGCUGCUUUGAUGCCAAAAGUAGUGCCAGCUACAUUUGAUUUUGCACAAGAAAUGCAUAUAUGUCUUCUAAUUGUUACCUGGGAGAUAGCUGAUUGGCAUGACAACAUUUCAAAGCCAAGAAAAGCACCCGGAAAACCAGCACAGAGAAGCAGACGACUUUCAGAUCAGCACAAAUCCAGCCGCGGAUUUGUGUCUUCUGAAUGGCAAUGGCCACGUAUGCAAGAAAGGAAAUCUGUAUUACACUCAACCACUUGAAGGUCACACCAAAGAAAUGCAGUUCAUUCAUUUCUGCCUCAGUCACUGCAUUUCACAUGAUCUGUAUACCCAGACUGAAUUCGUGUUGAUCUGAAAUUUGUAUGUUUCUUUGUCUUGUUUCCCUUUCCCACACAGCAGGCAACCAUUUGAAGUUACCACCACAAAAGUUUAUAUGAAACAAUCAUUCUUCAAUGAUUACAUAGUCCAUGCUCAUGAGCCCAAAAUAGAUAACCUCUUCUAAUGUCCUCUCAUCCAGGAAACAUUAGGCACCAUCUAAGCCCUGUGAUCAGAAACCUCACUCAUAUCCAAGAGACUUUGUGCCAUGUGUUAGAAAGACUGAAAGGCUGAAUAAAGUUAUUUCAGUUCACAUGGGAAGGAAUAUAAUGUUGUUAUUGUUAUGUUUGUGCAUUUCCUUGAAGAGAAAAAAAUACGUGUGUGUGUUUCCUCCUUGUGAUUAUGUACGUUUCUGAGCACACCGAAUUUCUUGUGUCUGGUCAUAAAGAAAGAAGCCAUUCAACAUCAUGUGGUAGGAAGUUUGUCUAGUUUAUCCUAUAUAUCACAGGCCUAGCAAAUGCACAUCACAACUGUUGUUGGGCUCUUCCAUCACUGGAAAACAUUGAGUCAGAAAUGGAUUUGUCCUUGCUGGGGCAAUUUUCCACAUUGUUGAAGAGGUAGCAAUAGUAUAGGAUAUGAACACAAUGCUGCAAGAACUCAGCAGGUCAGGCAGCAUCUGUGAGAAAAGAGUAGCCAAUGUUUCAGGCCGAGACCCUUCAUCAGGAAUGGGGGGGAAGAGAGGGCCAAAGCCCAGUAAUAGAGAUAGGGGAGGGGGUAGGGCCUAGAGGCGUCAGGUGGAAAACCGUUCAGAGGAAAGAUAAAGGGGGGGAAGGGAUAAGCAUGAAA